AUGUCCUCUUGAGUUCCCUUUAACGCUUCAUUGUUCAUACUUGGUUGUCUAGUAAUCUACGGAUAAAUCUGUCCAAUGAACACUGAAGUGUUUGGGGGGACUCUAGGUGGCAU
rnacentral:pre_miRNA from 2 species